GAUGGUUAAUGAUGUCCUGAGUGAUGUCACAAGGGGGUUGGAGUGAGGAUGGAGAUUGGCAACUGAAUGCCAACCAUUCCCAGAGAAGCAUGGGGCCAUCCUGAAAGCUACCAAGUUAGUUGCCCAAAUAACCCUCAGGAAUCUUUUUGUGGUCUCUGUUGUUCUCCACAACUACCUUGGGAAGGUUCAGCACAGAAUGGCUUGGCAAAGUCUCAUGACCAACUACCACCAAGGGAAACACUCACUACCCAGAGGAACCACACCAAGAGACAUAGAAAGAGAUUAGCACAUGAACACUUGACCAUCUGUCUGCCCUGCUCUUCUGCAGCAAAGUUACAACUGUCUCUUUCUCGUUUCUUCCUCCAAGCACCUAUAAGUCAAAGUAGACUGGAAACAGAAGUCAUGAGAAUAGAAGUGGAAGACCUGGGAGGCAAGGCUAUUCAAAGGAAGACAAGAGUAACUGGAAACUGAGGGAGUGCCCAUUGAUUGAGGAAUGACUGAAUCCUACUUAAAAGAUCUGAGGAGAAAUUAAGUGACUUCUCCAGCCCUCCACAGGCAGUGGUAGCAGGGACAAAGACCACCGGAGCAGAGACAAUGGAAUCAGAGGAGAGUGACUCCAUUAGAACAUCUAUGUCUCCUGUCUCGCCAGUUUUUUAGUGUCUCCUUCCUUGCCCUCUCUGUGGGACAUCCCCGUCUUUUAAAGGACUGCCCAUCUGAACCACAAAGAGAAGCGUACCUGAGAAGCUUCCCUCGACACAGACCUCGCGUCCUCCCGGCGGACAUUUCUGAAAAGCCGAGGAUCGGGACUUGGAUUUCUCCCCUAAAUCCCACACUUGUCCACAAGAUGGCAGUAUCGAAAUGCAGAUGUCCAGAGGCCGGCUCCGUGACAGCAUUUAUCUCUCCCAGAUCCAUCAUUGCCCACGCGUCUCCUUGUGAGGCCCUGGAAGAAUUUGUAUGCCAGCCUUUUGGUCAUGCCCCAGUGAAGUACCUAAUAAAUCCUGGCUUUCCAAAAUGCUCACUAGACUUACUUCCCUCUCCAUUAGAGAACAGAAUUCUGCUGGGGGUGUGCCUCUCUUUACACCAGAGAUGUCUUUUGUUCUUAGAUUGGGAGGACACCAAAUUUGGGUCAAUGAAUCCUCUUUUAAAUGCAUUAGAAAAGCUGAGUAUUUAAAGCAGCCUCGUGCUAAUCACUUUGUAAACCAGAAAAUCCUUUGUGUGCAGGAGAAAAAUCUCGGGCUUCACGUUGCAUAAGCGGAUUUUUUCCUUCUCUUUUUGGACUCCCAUGCCCCGGUGCCUGGCACACAGUAGGAGCUUAAUAAAAUCUUGUCGAUUGAUUGAUUAAAGCUAAAAGGGUCUUGAAAAUCAUCUAAUCAAUCAUCUCCUUGUUUUAUAGAUCAGGAAACUGAGGGUUAGAGGUAAAAAGCGGAAAGAAAAUGUUGAUCUCAGGCAGGAGCCCUGUCACCGGAUCACAGUGACAGCGUGCUUCUGCAUCGAGAGACUUUUUCUGUGUCUCAGAAUAAAGAAUUGAGUGGCUGGUUUCAAACAAUAUUCUGUAAAAUGAAGAUUUCUUUUUUGAGAAUUUGUAAUAAUGUAAGUCAUUUCUACAUUAAUUAAAUAAGCAUAUAUUAAAACCUUACUGUGUGCCAGAUUCUAUGGUAGGCAAGUGGAAGAAAACAAAGAAGUGAAAGCAACACAAUACUAACAAUGAUAUGGACAGAGAAAUCUUACAUUUUAGGAGAAUAUAUUUUGAGUUAGAACAGACCAUAAAGGCAUCCUAACAAACUCCUCAUUUUGCAGAUCCUAUUUAAUAUUUUAUUUGUAUAUCAUUAUUUAUAUAUUAUCUUGCCUGAUUUUGUUAUUUAACUUCCAAAAAAUAUGUCUAAUCUGUUCAUUUAAUCCAGUGUCCACAAAUCUACAAGCAUCCAUGGAUAGCUUUCAGGGGAUUUGUGAAUUUUGAAAGGAAACCAUUUACCAUCUUUAUUUUAUUUAACCUCUAAGAUUCCUGAGAGCAGGAACUGUUUUCUCACCUUUGUAUCCUCAGCACUUAGCAGUGCCUGACACAUUUGUUGUGAUUCAGUUACAUCUUAUCUUCUUGACCCCAUUUGGGUUUUUCCUGACAAAGAUUUUGGAGUCCUUUGCUAUUUCCUUCUCCACUCAUUCUACAGAUGAAGCAACUGAGGAAAACAGGGUUAAGUGACUUGCUCAGGGUCAUACAGCUAGUCUACAACUAGUAGAUACAGCUAGUAUCU